rnacentral:rRNA from 1 species
UGGGGAAUUUUGCACAAUGGGGGAAACCCUGAUGCAGCGACGCCGCGUGCGGGAUGAAGGCCUUCGGGUUGUAAACCGCUUUUGAUUGGGAGCAAGCUUUCGGGUGAGUGUACCUUUCGAAUAAGCGCCGGCUAACUACGUGCCAGCAGCCGCGGUAAUACGUAGGGCGCAAGCGUUAUCCGGAAUUAUUGGGCGUAAAGAGCUUGUAGGCGGUUCGUCGCGUCUGGUGUGAAAGCCCAUCGCUUAACGGUGGGUUUGCGCCGGGUACGGGCGGGCUAGAGUGCAGUAGGGGAGACUGGAAUUCCCGGUGUAACGGUGGAAUGUGUAGAUAUCGGGAAGAACACCAAUGGCGAAGGCAGGUCUCUGGGCUGUUACUGACGCUGAGAAGCGAAAGCGUGGGGAGCGAACAGG